GUUUUGGAUUGACAGCUUUUCUUUACU
rnacentral:piRNA from 1 species